rnacentral:rRNA from 1 species
ACUGCUCAGUAACACGUGGAUAACCUGCCCUUGGGUCCGGCAUAACCCCGGGAAACUGGGGAUAAUUCCGGAUAACGCACAUAUGCUGGAAUGCUUUAUGCGUAAAAUGGAUUCGUCUGCCCAAGGAUGGGUCUGCGGCCUAUCAGGUAGUAGUGGGUGUAAUGUACCUACUAGCCAACAACGGGUACGGGUUGUGAGAGCAAGAGCCCGGAGAUGGAUUCUGAGACAUGAAUCCAGGCCCUACGGGGCGCAGCAGGCGCGAAAACUUUACAAUGCGGGAAACCGUGAUAAGGGGACACCGAGUGCCAGCGUCAUACGCUGGCUGUCCAGGUGUGUAAAAUACACCUGUUAGCAAGGGCCGGGCAAGACCGGUGCCAGCCGCCGCGGUAACACCGGCGGCCCGAGUGGUGAUCGUGAUUAUUGGGUCUAAAGGGUCCGUAGCCGGUUUGGUCAGUCCUCCGGGAAGUCUGAUAGCUCAACUAUUAGGCUUUCGGGGGAUACUGCCAGACUUGGAACCGGGAGAGGUAAGAGGUACUACAGGGGUAGGAGUGAAAUCUUGUAAUCCCUGUGGGACCACCUGUGGCGAAGGCGUCUUACCAGAACGGGUUCGACGGUGAGGGACGAAAGCUGGGGGCACGAACCGGAUUAGAUACCCGGGUAGUCCCAGCCGUAAACGAUGCUCGCUAGGUGUCAGGCAUGGCGCGACCGUGUCUGGUGCCGCAGGGAAGCCGUGAAGCGAGCCACCUGGGAAGUACGGCCGCAAGGCUGAAACUUAAAGGAAUUGGCGGGGGAGCAC